rnacentral:tRNA from 1 species
CCCAGGAUGGCCAGUGGUUACGGCAUCAGACUGUUGAUCAAGAACUGUUUCGCAAUCGCAGGUUCGAAUCCUGCUCCUGGGA